CCUACGGGUGGCUGCAGUGGGGAAUAUUGGACAAUGGGCGAAAGCCUGAUCCAGCCAUGCCGCGUGUGUGAAGAAGGCCUUCGGGUUGUAAAGCACUUUCAGUGGGGAAGAAAGCCUUGGGGCUAAUACCCUCGAGGAAGGACAUCACCCACAGAAGAAGCACCGGCUAACUCCGUGCCAGCAGCCGCGGUAAUACGGAGGGUGCGAGCGUUAAUCGGAAUUACUGGGCGUAAAGCGCGCGUAGGCGGUCUGAUAAGCCGGUUGUGAAAGCCCCGGGCUCAACCUGGGAACGGCAUCCGGAACUGUCAGGCUAGAGUGCAUGAGAGGAAGGUAGAAUUCCCGGUGUAGCGGUGAAAUGCGUAGAGAUCGGGAGGAAUACCAGUGGCGAAGGCGGCCUUCUGGACUGACACUGACGCUGAGGUGCGAAAGCGUGGGUAGCAAACAGGAUUAGAUACCCGAGUAGUC
rnacentral:rRNA from 1 species